rnacentral:rRNA from 1 species
CUGAAGAUUGAGAUAGUCGGGCUUGAUUGGGAAACAAUAACAUGGUUUAUGUGCUCGUUCUGGGUAAAUAGAGUUUCUAGCAUUUAUGUUAGUUACUUGUUCCCCGGAUAGUUUAGUUACGUAGCCAAUUGUGGAACUUUCUUGCUAAAAUUUUUAAGAAUACUAUUUGGGUUAAACCAAUUAGUUUUAUUAAUUAUAACGAUUAUCAAUUAACAAUCAAUUCAGAACUGGCACGGACUUGGGGAAUCCGACUGUCUAAUUAAAACAAAGCAUUGUGAUGGCCCUAGCGGGUGUUGACACAAUGUGAUUUCUGCCCAGUGCUCUGAAUGUCAAAGUGAAGAAAUUCAAGUAAGCGCGGGUCAACGGCGGGAGUAACUAUGACUCUCUUAAGGUAGCCAAAUGCCUCGUCAUCUAAUUAGUGACGCGCAUGAAUGGAUUAACGAGAUUCCUACUGUCCCUAUCUACUAUCUAGCGAAACCACAGCCAAGGGAACGGGCUUGGAAUAAUUAGCGGGGAAAGAAGACCCUUUUGAGCUUGACUCUAAUCUGGCAGUGUAAGGAGACAUAAGAGGUGUAGAAUAAGUGGGAGAUAUUAGACCUCGGUUUGGUAUCGUCAAUGAAAUACCACUACUCUUAUUGUUUCCUUACUUACUUGAUUAAAUGGAACGUGUAUCAUUUCCUAGCCAUUAUACGGAUAUAUUUAUUAUAUCUUAUGGUAUUGGGUUUUGAUGCAAGCUUCUUGAUCAAAGUAUCACGAGUUUGUUAUAUAAUCGCAAACAAAUUCUUUAAUAAAACGAUGCAUUUAUGUAUUUUUGAUUUGAAAAUUUGGUAUAACUCCAAUUACUCAGGUAUGAUCCAAUUCAAGGACAUUGCCAGGUAGGGAGUUUGACUGGGGCGGUACAUCUCUCAAAUAAUAACGGAGGUGUCCCAAGGCCAGCUCAGUGCGGACAGAAACCACACAUAGAGCAAAAGGGCAAAUGCUGACUUGAUCUCGGUGUUCAGUACACACAGGGACAGCAAAAGCUCGGCCUAUCGAUCCUUUUGGUUUAAAGAGUUUUUAACAAGAGGUGUCAGAAAAGUUACCAUAGGGAUAACUGGCUUGUGGCGGCCAAGCGUUCAUAGCGACGUCGCUUUUUGAUCCUUCGAUGUCGGCUCUUCCUAUCAUUGUGAAGCAAAAUUCACCAAGCGUUGGAUUGUUCACCCAUGCAAGGGAACGUGAGCUGGGUUUAGACCGUCGUGAGACAGGUUAGUUUUACCCUACUAAUGACAAAACGUUGUUGCGACAGCAUUCCUGCGUAGUACGAGAGGAACCGCAGGUACGGACCAAUGGCACAAUACUUGUUCGAGCGAACAGUGGUAUGACGCUACGUCCGUUGGAUUAUGCCUGAACGCCUCUAAGGUCGUAUCCGUGCUGGACUGCAAUGAUAAAUAAGGGGCAAUUUGCAUUGUAUGGCUUCUAAACCAUUUAAAGUUUAUAAUUUACUUUAUAAACGACAAUGGAUGUGAUGCCAAUGUAAUUUGUAACAUAGUAAAUUGGGAGGAUCUUCGAUCACCUGAUGCCGCGCUAGUUACAUAUAAAAGCAUUAUUUAAUACAAUGACAAAGCCUAGAAUCAAUGUAAACGACUUUGUACACGAGGCAGAG